UCUUCGUCUGGCCGGGGUUACUAGUUUUAAUACGCAGCGUUUCGUGGAAAGCUCACAUCGACGGCCGUUACUGGGAAACGGAUGAAAUGGAACCAUCCAAAAGCUCUUUUCUUUCUCUGCAACAAGAUAAAGAAGAUUGCGGAGAGAGUCAUAAAAAGGUUUUGAGCUUUGAUCACUACUAAUGGAGGCUCUGCAAUUUUCCAGCCAUUUCUCCGUGAGUAGAGUUCCGAAUUAUGUAUACUCUAGGAAUUCGGAGAAGUAGAGCAACAUUUAGCUCUGCAUUCACCGGUACCAGCAAUUCAGCUUCUCUCUCCUCUAGGAAUCCCUCAACGCGAGAGAUAUGGAGUUGGGUGAAAUCGAAGACUGUUGGUCAAGGAAGAUACAGAAGAAGCCAAGUGAGAGCCGAGAUGUUUGGACAGUUGACUGGUGGACUCGAGGCUGCUUGGAGCAAACUCAAAGGCGAAAGGUUUUGACCAAGGAGAAUAUUGCCGAACCAAUGCGAGAUAUUGGAAGAGCUCUCCUGGAAGCAGAUGUGAGUCUUCCAGUUGUUAGAAGGUUUGUUCAAUCUGUUAGUGACCAAGCCGUUGGAAUGGGUGUCAUUCGUGGAGUUAAACCAGAUUAGCAAUUGAUUUUACAUGAUGAGCUUGUGAAAUUGAUGGGUGGAGGAGUAUCUGAGUUACAGUUUGCUAAAUCAGGUGCUACAGUAAUAUUGUUGGCUGGACUCCAAGGAGUUGGAAAGACAAUGGUUUGCGCUAAACUAGCUUGUUACCUAAAGAAGCAGGGAAAAUCUUGCAUGCUUAUUGCUGGAGAUGUGUACCGACCUGCUACCAUUGAUCAACUUGUCAUUUUAGGUGAACAGGCUUUGGACUCGAUAACCAUCAACAUCUGCUAUCUUCCUCUCCAAGGAAACCUCAUCAAGCUUUAUUUUCAACCAGUCUAGCUUGA